CGAGGUUGGGAGCAUCUUCAGCCCCGAGGCAGCAUCAGAGAUCAUAAUCUGCUCUCUUGGCAAGAAAUUUGUAUGGAUAGAGUUGAUACAGCUCACCUGAAGUUGGGGUGGAGAAAAGAGGCGUCAGACUCCUGGACGGGACAAGAGUUUCACUCUUGUUGCCCAGGCUGGAGUGCAAUGGUGUGAUCUCAGCUCACCGCACCCUCUGCCUCUCAGGUUCAAGCAAUUCACCUGCCUCAGCUUCUGGAGUAGCUGGGAUUACAGGAAUAUACCACCACACCUGGUUAAUUUUUAUUUUAACACAGACGAAAGGCGGAGAAUACUCCAAGCCGCUUCUAAUUAGCUGGAGGAGCAUGUUCCUGCAGAUUACCAGAACCCCCAAGAGUAUGGAAAAGGGGGGGUUCCUGGAAACCCCCCAGUCUGCCUGCCCGGGCCUGCAAUGCGAUCAGUGUGCAUUCUGCUGAGAAAUAGGACGCUGGAAGAAAAAAUGUCCACAGUUAACUGAGGAACAGGACGAUCCUAAGCAGGAGGAUCCAAAUGACUGUGAAGGGGCUCUGUUCAAUCUAAUGGAAGGGCCACUGGACUAAGAGAGGGGGGCUGGACUCAUAUGCCCCCAAAGAGCCCAUGGUCCGGACGACAGCCCUGUAACCCCCCCAUCGAAAGGAACAAGGCCAGUGGUGUUCAAUCAAUUAAGGUAUUAAGAGGACAGACUUUCUUGUACUUAAUGAAUUGCCCCUGCCCCCCUUCUCCAGCAAAACCUACUGUGCAAAUCGAGGGCCACUAUCCCAUUCAACAAAGGAGACUACCUGCAGCUAAAACUGCCUCAGUCGGGGGUCAUCCAGGCUCUCACUGUCCCUUGGGAAGGAGGGUGGAGACUUCCUAGCCAGAAGCAGAAGACUGAUAUUAUCACCCAGGCCAGUGCAGGGUUUGCGUGGCUUUGCACCCAACUUAUACACGCAGUUGGGAUUAUUGCCAGCAGCGGAUAGUUGGUUCACUUAAUUGGACUUAAAAGAAUACCUCCUUAGCAUUGGACUGGCCUUGGAGGGUCAAAAAGUAUUUGCAUUUCAAUGGGAGAAAUCCAGAAGCAGGUGUAACCACUCAAUGCACCUGAACCCAGCUUCCCAGGGGCUCAGAAACUCUCUCAUCAUUGAUGAGGAGGCAUCAGCCUGUGACCAUCCCCCAGAAGCUUCUUGCUUGCAUGCUGCCCCCCUAUGCUGAUAACCUUCUAUUGGGACACCCCACGGCAGUCGGGUGCGCAAACAAAUGCCUUACUUCGGCACCUGGAGGGCUGUGGGUAUAAAGUGUCUAAAAGGAAAGCCCUGAUUUGCCAAAAAGCAAAUGCAAUAUCUGAGGCUCGCCAUCUGGAAGAGGGAACGCAGCCCAGAAGCAGAGAGGAAGCAAGCCCCUGCAAAGUAACAGAACCUGAGACCAAAAAGCAGGUAAGAGAGCUUCUGGGAGUGGUGGGUUUUGUAAAUUGUGGAUUUCCAAACUUCGCAGUACUGACCAAACCCUUACACACAGUGACAAAGGGGAGAGGGGAGAAGACAAGACACCCUUCAAAUGGGGCAGAAGCUAAAAGUGAAACUUCUGUUGGCCCUGGUUUUGGGGUUAGCCAAUUUUAACACAGCUUUUUCAUGCUGUCAAAAAAAAAAAAAAAAAAAAAAAGGGAGGAAGAAAAAUGGCAAUCAAAGAUUCUAGCCUCAACUCUGGGAAGAAUUUAAAUAUCAAAGCACCCCACACAGCAGUGACUCUAAUGAAUACCAAAAGAACUCAUUGGUAAGCCUGCCAAAUACCAGGGCCCGCUAUGUGCAGUGGUUGUACAAGCCAUACAUGAGCCUCGUUUAGGUCGAGUCACUUGAAAAGAUGUUGGGUUGGUACUUUUACAUCUUACACUUAUCAGCCUUAACUAAAACUGUGGCACGGCGGUGUAUUCAUUACAUGUCGGCAACACAACGUGAGGCAGUGUCCCAACUAUUCUCCCUGGCAUUCAAGCUUACGGAGCAGCUCUGUUUUAAAGAUCUCCAGGUACUGAAAUGUCCCAAGUGUGGGGGACAUAAGUAUUUGUUGGUCCUGUUGUGCACAUACUCUGAGUAGGACUGAAAAGGCCCAUGAAGUAAUCCCUGUGCUCCUUCGAGAUCUUAUCCCUAGGUUUGGACUGUCACUGCGCAACAGAUCAGACAACGGACCAGCAUUUGUGGAGGAUUUAGUCCAGAAAACAGCAACGGCCUUGGGUAUCACCUGGAAACUGCAUGCUGCCUACCGACCUCGGAGUUCUGGAAAAGUGGAAAAAUCGGACCAUCAAAAACAGCUUAGGGUAAGUGUGUCAGGAAACAAGGUUAAAGUGGGUGCAGGCACUUCCCUUGGUAUUAUUCAAAAUUAGAGGCACCCUCUUUAGGAAAAACAGGAUAUUCCCCUAUGAAGUCUUAUACCAUAGGCCCCCUCCCCUACUCCCGGCACUCCUAGGAACUCCUCGGGAGUGGGGAGAGAUUGAGUUAGGAUGCUAGUUACUAGCCCUAGGGAGAAUUGCUUAGGAUACUUCAACCCGAGUAAAUAACAAAUGUUCUGUAAGCCUUUUUCUCCCCAGUUCACCCUUUCUCACUAGGUAAUCAUGUGUGGAUAAAGGACAGGAAUACAGUCCCUCUAAAGCCACAAUGGAAAGGACCUCAGACUUGAUCCUGACCAAUCCCAGCCUGAAUCCACUACAGCCGUGUAAAACCAGCAACACCUGAGACUUGGACCAAGGCAAGGACUGCAGAAUCACCUUAAAAAGGACAACAAGCCUUGCUCCAGCCACAUCCUGGAAGCUGGCUGGUCCACGCAUGGCCGAAGCAUGAGGAAAUUCACCGUGGGACUUGUUCUUAAUAUUUGGACUUGUACAGUAGGAGCAUUAACUAAUUUUAAAGAAUGCCCUCGGUAUGUACACCAGGUAGGGCAUAAAAGUUACAGCCAUUCUUUUGUCCUACAGUUCUUAUAAAUGUACAGGGGGACAGAGAAGGGAACCUGUUUAUAUAACGGUACUCAAUAUAAGGUGUGUAGUCCAUGAAAUGGACAGGUAGCUGUGUCAUAGGCAUCAUUAAGCCCUCUUUCUUCCUAUUAAGACGGGUAGGCUGUUAAUGUAUUCAGUCAACUCCGCUAGAGAGAAAAAGAAACCUAAAGAUAGGAGAAUGGACAGAUAAGUGGCCACUGGAGAAAACUAUUAAGUAUUAUGGCCCGGCCACAUGGGCAGAGGAUAGCUCAUGGGGAUACCAGACCCCUAUUUACAUGCUCAACCGGAUCAUCCAGUUGCAGGCCGUUUUGGAAAUACUCACUAAUGAAACGGGCAAAGCUCUGUCCCUUUUAGCCCAACAACAACAACAAAAACUCAAAUGAGAAAUGCGAUUUACCAGAACCGGCUGGCCCUAGAUUUGCUAGCAGCCUAAGGAGUCUGUGGAAAAUUCAAUGUAACCAACUGCUAUCUGCACAUAGAUGACCAGGGGUAAGCAGUGGAAGGUAUUGUGCGAGACAUGACCAAACAAGCACAUGUACCUGUACAAGUGUGGCACGGAUUUAACCCUGAGUCCUUAUUUGGAGGUUGGUUCUCAUCCUUGGGAGGAUUCAAAACCCUCACCGUAAGUGUUAAAAGAGCAGGCCAGCUGGAGCCUCCUGAAUCUCCUUCCUGAAAACAACAGGCUAGGCCUUGGGGAAACUCUCCAGAAGGCACUAUUUUUACUUAAAAAGAGAUCAAACCAGAAACCUUUUCACGUGUGAGGCCUAAAACUGUAAACCAGAACCCUUUCAUAUGUGAUUCCUGAAACUGUAAGCUAAAACCUUUUCACGUGAGUCCUAAAACAUGAACCUAAGAUUCUUCCAUGUGUAACAUCUAAAGUAUAAGCCUAUAUAAAGGCUGAACCUCCCUUUGUUAGAUGAGCUUGGCUGUUAGGCACCUAUGCCACCUUGCUCCCAGCUGAAAUAAAUUCUUUCCUCCUGUAUUCGGUGUCCGAGAUCCUUUCCCGCAGCCGCUCCUGCUACAAUAGUCCUAUCUACCAGUUUAAAUGAAUGCUUAAAAAUUUUCUACUGGAUAGAAGUAGGUGGUGUCUUAAGGCUAGGUAAGGGUAAACAAGCUAAAAUAGCAGCCAGUGACUUUAGAGACCAUGAAACCAAAGUUAAUCUUUUUAAGUCCUUUUAAUUGUUCUUAUAAACUAGUGUAAGAUAUAAACUUAAGUAGUACACAUGAGUUUUAUAAUUUACCCAUCACUGGCAGAUAGCUAAGCAUAGCACAUCAGGGCAUAACACAGUGUGAGGGAAAUAAAGUGUACAAUGACAUCUUCUAUUCUGGACCUAAUAAUUCAACAAAGAAAGAACUACUUGUGGUCAUUGUGGUUACAAAAGGUUUCAUGGAGACAGUGAAGAUAAAGCUCUACUUACUAACAAAUAGGUUUUAAUGAUAAAAAUAUGGGCCUUCAAAGAACUAAAGGUACCAAUGUGUGACAGUCCAAAAUUUAUGAGGAAAAUGAGUUCCCUUCAUGGGUCACAUCAGCAAUUUUUUUUUUCCUCUUGAGACAGUCUCA